rnacentral:rRNA from 1 species
CCUACGGGCGGCUGCAGUGGGGAAUAUUGGACAAUGGGCGAAAGCCUGAUCCAGCCAUGCCGCGUGUGUGAAGAAGGCCUUCGGGUUGUAAAGCACUUUCAGUGGGGAAGAAAGCCUUGGGGCUAAUACCCUCGAGGAAGGACAUCACCCACAGAAGAAGCACCGGCUAACUCCGUGCCAGCAGCCGCGGUAAUACGGAGGGUGCGAGCGUUAAUCGGAAUUACUGGGCGUAAGGCGCGCGUAGGCGGUCUGAUAAGCCGGUUGUGAAAGCCCCGGGCUCAACCUGGGAACGGCAUCCGGAACUGUCAGGCUAGAGUGCAGGAGAGGAAGGUAGAAUUCCCGGUGUAGCGGUGAAAUGCGUAGAGAUCGGGAGGAAUACCAGUUGCGAAGGCGGCCUUCUGGACUGACACUGACGCUGAGGUGCGAAAGCGUGGGUAGCAAACAGGAUUAGAUACCCUAGUAGUC